rnacentral:rRNA from 1 species
CUCGUAGGCGGUUCGUCGCGUCCGGUGUGAAAGUCCAUCGCUUAACGGUGGAUCCGCGCCGGGUACGGGCGGGCUUGAGUGCGGUAGGGGAGACUGGAAUUCCUGGUGUAGCGGUGGAAUGCGCAGAUAUCAGGAGGAACACCGGUGGCGAAGGCGGGUCUCUGGGCCGUUACUGACGCUGAGGAGCGAAAGCAUGGGGAGCGAACA